rnacentral:lncRNA from 1 species
CUGGGUCUGGGGAAACUCUGGCCCCAUGGGAGUUUCUGGAAGAGCCAAAUGCCAGGGCUCCACCAAGUAUUUCUUUUACAUUGGGAAGACCCCCAAACAACGAUCAUGUUUUCCAUCCCAAACACUAGAGGAGUUCCCAUCAAAGGAAAAGACGUAUCAGAUCAAAGCGAACAAGGUGACAAAAUCCUCAGCUAAACCAACGGAGUCUAGUACACUGGCUCCUAAAACCAAAAGAGUCUAGCACAGUGGUUCCUAGUGGCAGGGAAGUAGCAGAAAGCAGAUAAGCCCAGGGUCUCUCCAGACACCCGCCACACACUUAUGGCCUCAGUGCUUAAAGGACCCUUCCUGCAUGCAGUGCCUUUCCAAGCCCCACAGGCAGACCUCCCUGAUGGGUAGCCAAGCUUUUCCAAUGUGCUCUGCCCAAUCCUUCCUCCAGGUCCAAAUUCUCUGGCCUCUAAGCCAGCCAAGUGUACCCACUAUCUACCCCUUUCCUGUGGUCACAACCAGCAAACACUCCCAGAAGACUACCCCAGGCCGGACCCCACAACCCAGCCUCCCCACUCACCCAUAGGCUCCGGUGGCCUCUCCAGAUCUGUCAUCUUAGUCCUAAAGAUCCCACUGUGACUAGGAGUACAUCUGUCUAGGUGAGCCUAUGGUGUGUCCUUCCCAGGAGAGCAUCGUGAAAGGCGAGUUCCGGGGCCACCCUCCCAGGAGACCUCAGGUGCUGCCCAGUGACCCCUGGGCUGAGGAAGCUGAGGAAAGGUUGCAGUUGAAAAGGGACAACAGUAUGGUCACAAUUGAGGGAGGGUGCCAUGGUGGCUUUGGAGGGUGCUGGAGACAAUACAAGGCUUACAAUGGCCUCACCAGAAGGCAAAGGUCUAAGAAGCUGCCUGACAGACGGGAGGGAUACCAAGUACCAGACAGGUGGAGCCUAAAGCAAAGAUGUCCCCAAGAGGGCAGUAGAAGACCAGUGCCUAGGCCAAGGCCUGUCUGAGAGACCCCAGCCUGGACCUGAUGCCCGUGUAGCACAUAGAUGAAAGACAGCACACUCUACUGGAGUCCUGUCCAGGGUUAACAGUCCUCAACUGCAGAUGAGGUGGCAAUACCAAUCAGCAAGGUAGUGUAUGACCAUAUGACAGUGAACUUAGGUGACUGAAGUCCCUCAGGACACAACAGUCUGGGAUAGGUGAGAAUGGAAAUCAACUUAAAACCAGGGAGAGAGACAAGAAGGCUACCCUGCUGCCCCAGCAGUCUA